rnacentral:misc_RNA from 1 species
CCCCAAUUCGUCCGUGCAAGUAAACAGUAAACGGCAUCAAAUCAAGCUCUGCACGAAGUCAUGCUUUGUUAUGGCCAGUCUAUAUUCAGACGGUAAACUACAGCGGGUAAAUAUACAGAGUCUAUUCACUCCUUUUGGUCAAGAAACUGUUGUAUGGAAACUUUUGUCAAUGAGACGGUUCACGUUGUAUGUCCAACAAAACUCAAAACAGAGAAAAAGUACAAGGAACAAAAAUCAAAAGAAAUAACAGUUGCUAUCUGUGCUAUGCUCAAUAGCAAUGGCGGAAAGGUCAGACUGUCUUACGAAUCCAAGAGUGACUCAUGUGAAAGUUUAAAAUCAUCGAUGAGUCGAAUGCUGGAACAAUUAAUUAUAUCAAUAGUUGGACCUCGCAUGGCUACUUCUAAAAUAUGUAUGAAAGAUGACGAAGAAGGCCUGGUCAUUCUCGUUAAAAAAGCCGAUUAUUUAAUAACGACCAGUUAUAACCUUUAUUUACCCAGUCAAACACAAGUUGUCCAGUUAGAUCCCCGAGAACCAAUAAAAAAUGUCGUAAAGGAUAUUAUCGACAGAAGAGUCGUUCCCGAACCUGUGGAACUUGGCUCACAUCAGAAGAUUUUUCGUCGAGGUCAAGAUUCCCAUCUCAGGGAAAGCAAAAUGUGUCAGUUUAAGCAACUUAAAGCAGAUCAAUCCAAACGCACGACGUUAGCAGAUCGUAUGACGGGUAAAAGCAAUAAAUUCAGCUGUUAUGUUUCGGCAUAUGCCAACUACAGGGGAGGACACAUCUACUAUGGUAUCACAACAUGUGAUAUAUUUAUUGAGGGAGAGGUUAUUUCAAAUGACGAGGACAAGCGAGAUAUUAUAAAAAAAGUUGAAAAAACCAUCAAUAAGAUGAUUUGGCCUGAGCAUAUUGGUCAACCAAAACGAGGAGAACACUGGGAUAUAUUCUUCGAAUCAGUGUUAGAUGAGAACUCUACAACAAUCCCUUCCACCUUUGUGAUCGUCAUUUACAUUGCUCCCUGUUUUGGUGGUGUGUUUACGGAAGAACCAGAUUGUUAUGAAAUGGUGGAUGGGAAAAUAAGGAAAAUGACGUUUAUUGCAUGGAUGGAAAGGAUACAUUAUGACGAGGUGGUAUUGCGUUCACGGCCCGUUACUUCUCACAUUAAACGCAUCACAUGGAGUUCAACUAGACUUCAGAGGAUUUGCACUCAUGCAGACCACGAUUUAACACAAAAGCUUAAUAACGGACAAUCUAUUCAGGAAACCUGUAAGUCUCUUGAAUCAAAAUACCCUCGGGAACUUAGGGAAGUAAGAUUAUUGGUUUUGUCGAAGGAACUGAUGUUUUCGUACCGAACGAAUGAUUUCAGAAACGUAGACAGGUUACUUGAGCAAUACGAAGCUCUUCAAAUUGACACUUCAGAUUUUGCAAUUUUUGACGCGAUACUUACUUACAUAAAGGUUGCUUUACGCCGUGCCAAAGGAGAAAUUCAAAUGGAAGAAAUAAUCUCUGACGCUUUAUCUAAAGCAGAGAUGAUCGAACCAAGUCUUAUUACUGCUGCGAUAUAUCUACUUGUUGCUUCAAUAGCAAGUUCCUCUAGUGAAAUACCAGGUUACAUUGCAACAAUUCUUUCAACAACAGCUUUAGAACAUUUACAAUACGUCCAUGAUUCUCCCAUAGUUCGAGCAGACUUGGAACAAAAGGCUCACAUUACCUUAGCACAACAUCACCUGGGUUAUAAUGCAUAUGGGAUGCAAACUAGGGAGACAUUCGAUAGCAAGGACUUAGACAAAGCAAAAUCCAGUCUUGCGAAAGUCGAUAAAUUAAUCUUCGAGGGAAAAUCGGUAUAUAAUUAUCGCAAUAUACAUUUAAAUCUGGCGAAGGCAUAUCUUCGAAAUCGACAAUCCGAAAUCCAUCCUGAUGAAUCGUUGCUGAAAGAAGCUUUUCAAUAUUCAAAACAAGCUGAAAACCUUGCGACAAAAGGUAAUUUCCAAGAAAUGCUUCAGAGUGCUAGAACUUGCACGGCGUUAUGCAUUGAGAACUUGAUACGCCUUGCACUCAAUCCAAAGGCAAAGAAACGAACCAAAACCAACCCACUUCAAAAUAUUGAAAGUCCAGAAUGGACCUCAAAACGUUUGUAGCUGGCUAUCUUGAUCUUUAAAUUAUUUCGUCGGUUUGGCUGCAGGAGAACUGUUUUUGUUGUUCAUAGAUCCAUCAUUGUUGCUCUUACGGAAUCAUGCAAGAUUAUUUUGUAAAGACAUUGUAUCAGGAAUGAACUUUGAAGACACAAAUCUACGAC